UACAGAGGGUGCAAGCGUUGUUCGGAAUUAUUGGGCGUAAAGCGCGUGUAGGCGGCUUUGCAAGUCGGGUGUGAAAGCCCCCGGCUCAACUGGGGAGGGUCAUUCGAUACUGAUCGACUCGAAGGCAGGAGAGGGUAGUGGAAUUCCCGGUGUAGUGGUGAAAUGCGUAGAUAUCGGGAGGAACACCAGUGGCGAAGGCGACUACCUGGCCUGUUCUUGACGCUGAGGCGCGAAAGCUAGGGGAGCGAACGG
rnacentral:rRNA from 1 species